rnacentral:rRNA from 1 species
GCUUACGGCCGUACAACCCUGAGAACGCCCGAUCUUGUCUGAUCUCGGAAGCUAAGCAGGGUCGGGCCUGGUUAGUACUUGGAUGGGAGACCGCCUGGGAAUACCAGGUGCUGUAAGCU